GACGAACGCUGGCGGCGUGCUUAACACAUGCAAGUCGAACGAUGAAGCCUAGCUUGCUAGGUGGAUUAGUGGCGAACGGGUGAGUAAUACGUGAGUGACCUACCUUUGACUCUGGGAUAAGCCUGGGAAACUGGGUCUAAUACCGGAUACGACCAAUCUCCGCAUGGGGUGUUGGUGGAAAGCGUUAUGGAGUGGUUUUAGAUGGGCUCACGGCCUAUCAGCUUGUUGGUGAGGUAAUGGCUUACCAAGGCGACGACGGGUAGCCGGCCUGAGAGGGUGACUGGCCACACUGGGACUGAGACACGGCCCAGACUCCUACGGGAGGCAGCAGUGGGGAAUAUUGCACAAUGGGCGCAAGCCUGAUGCAGCGACGCCGCGUGAGGGAUGACGGCCUUCGGGUUGUAAACCUCUGUUAGCAUCGAAGGAGCGAAAGUGACGGUAGGUGCAGAGAAAGCGCCGGCUAACUACGUG
rnacentral:rRNA from 1 species